rnacentral:piRNA from 1 species
UGAAACCUCUGGGUGGUACAAUGGCCAUGGC